AGGACGAACGCUGGCGGCGUGCUUAGCACAUGCAAGUCGAGCGGAAAGGCCCUUCGGGGUACUCAAGCGGCGAACGGGUGAGUAACACGUGAGCAACCUGCCCUUAGCUCCGGGAUAGCUCCGGGAAACCGGAAUUAAUACCGGAUACGACCACGGCCGACAUCUGCUGUGGUGGAAAGGAUUCCGGCUAAGGAUGGGCUCGCGGCCUAUCAGCUAGUUGGUGGAGUAACGGCCCACCAAGGCGACGACGGGUA
rnacentral:rRNA from 1 species